CAUGGCUCAUGGGAAGAUCACACGUCACGUUAACUCGUGGAUUUCCCAAGAUCCGUGAU
rnacentral:pre_miRNA from 2 species